UUCAACUUCAAUUUAAUUUAAAAAAACAUUUUACGUAUUUUUCAGCAUGUUUCUUUAUUAUUUUAUUUGUCUAAUAAUAAUUUUAAAACCACCUAGUAUUAAUAGCUAACUGACGUAGAAUUCCUAAAGAUGAGAUAAAACGAAAAGCAUGGGUAGUAGAUGUUCACAGAGAAGAAUUCAUAGCAUCCAAUAAUAGUGUGUUAUGCCUUAACCCAUUUUACUACGGAUUCAUUUGAUAGACAAAGAUUCUUAUCUCUUAUGAGCUUUUGACAAAAAUAAUUAAUACAUAUAAUCAUUUGCAAUUGUUUCUUUAUAUUUUACAUACUUUAAAAUGUAUCUUCGAUUAAAAAAAUCAUUAUUUUUAUUUUAUUGUUUGGUAAAAUCAUGCUUAACUAAUAUGUUAUUAGCUAUUUAUGAUUGAGCAAUUAAAAGCAAAUAAUUAAAUGUAGCGCACAUAUUGUAAUGUAUUUUUAUUAGAAAACUUAUUUCUUACAAUCACGAAUAAAAUUGGGAAAGCAUUCAAAAUGAAAUUUAAAAAAAGAGAGAGGAAUCGUUAGGUACUCUUUAAAAUAUUCCCGUACGAUGCGACCGCCAGCUAUGAAUUUUUCGCCAAAAAGGUAACCCCCAUCUUUGAACAAGUUUUCCGAGCCCAAACAAUAGACUGACUCUCUCUACCUUAAUAUCUCCUCUAAGGGUUUUAAUUUUUUCAGUUUGAAAUUUAAAUUACUGGGGGGGAGGGAUGAAGCACCAUAUCGGGAGCUUCCGACAUCCUAUAAGAUCAUCAAUGAUUUGAGUUAGGCUCUGACACGCGUGCUUUGGAUACAGAGAUUAGUCUCCGGCUAAUGCCCUAUAGUAAUGUGUUAAAUAAUAUUGCUUCUUCGCUUUAUAUAAGUUUAUAAUGCUGAUAAUAAGCACCUCUGAGAUUUUAUAAUGCUAUCAUAUUCUCUCUAUGUGAUGUUGGUGUAUAAAAAUUGUCAGCUAAUUUCCAGGAAAACGACUUUAAUUUUGUUCGCGAAGCAAACAAAAAUGUAAUUGCGUAGCAAUUAUCAGGGGUUGGUGAGCAUGGGGCGGAGCCCUCUAGUGUAUAUUCUGGUUGAAAUUAAGCAUUCAAAAUUUAAAAAAUUACUUUACAAGAAAACGGUAAAAAUUUAAUUUAUAAUCAAUACGAAUGAUACCAUUUCAAGUAAUUCGUAUGAUUGUUUUUCUUUGUAUUAUAUAGACACAGAAAUAUUAUAAAGAAAAAGAAUAUUCUAUAACUAUCACAGUUUCUGAAAUAACACUUAUUCAUUGGUAUAAAGUAGCCAAUGCAUGAAUAAAUAACUGCUAAAAAAAAGCUUCAAUACGUUAAUCAAUGUUCAUUCCGUUGCAGGAUGAUCAGAUUGAAGAGUCAGUUGAGAGGAGAUCGCCUAUAAUCAUCAGGCUGGAAGCAGUAAGACAAGACAGUCCACCCUCUGAAAUUAAUGAAGAUGAUGGAUUGGGAGAACACAAUCCUCCAGAUGAAGAAGUUUUGGAUGAGGC